GGGGUUAUAGCUCAGUGGUAGAGCGCUUGCCUCAUAUGCAUGAGGCCCUGGGUUCCAUUCUCAGUACCA
rnacentral:tRNA from 1 species